CUGGCCGGGUGGUCUGGGGGGCGCGGAGGGACGCGGGCCGAGGAGCUGACCGCGCCGGAGCCUCGGACCCCGGAGCCGCAGACCCUCAGCCUCGGUGGGACCCCAGCCCAUUAAUGCGGAAACCGGUGUGAGAAGACGCACGAAAUUGGGCUCAUCAAGUGUGAAACUAUAGAACUCUCUGAAGGCCUGUUCUGCCAGUUUCUCACAAAGCACAGAGAGCCCCAUUCCUCGUCGCUCUGACCUCGUUUCAGCGGGAGUCGAAGGUCCGCGACACAGUGUCAGUGACUUCAUUCUUGUGGAACUGGGUGGCACUGCGUGAACCGGAACCGGCCUUGAUGACGUCAGAUGUUAUCAUUCUCUGCAUGACGACACCGCUGGUGGAGAUAUUUUAAAGGGCCCACGACUGGAAGUGGGCUGGGCUGGGUCUGCAGGUCUCACUGGCCUCCUUCUGGAACCAGGCUCCUCGCACGGACUCGGAUGCUGGGCUCCACGGCCCUUUCCUCCUCUGGGUCUUGGUUUCCUUUCUUAACACAGUGGAAUCUCCUCUGCUGAUGGUUUUAUUUAAACAAACAGCCCUCAGCUCUCCCUCCU